CAGUGCUUGGACCGAAGUCACAAAACUAGUAAGUGGCAGUUUUUUAACCCAAGCAACCUAGCUUUGGAGUAAAACAUCUUUUCUUUUAUCCUUUCUUUUCUUUUUCUUAUUAUGUUGCCUAGGCUGAUCCUAAACUCAUGAUCCUCCUGCUUCAUCUUCCAAGUGGCUUUGUUACCCAGCCCUAAUCCAUGUACAUACUCCACUACAGUACAGUGGCCAGGACUCUGGACAAGCAUGCCCAGAACAGAACUGUGGCAAUGGAAUGGUCCCCGAAUCCACCUCCAAACAGUCUCCACAGGGCAGCUGGCCUUCGGACGUACAGUGGAUGCUCAGUAAGGCUCAGCUUUCUCUGCCUCUCUAGCAUCAGGCUCCACCCUACUGUCCCAUUGACCCUAGGAGUGCAGCUGGAAGCUCUGGGCCUCUGCUCCUAUGAGCUGCACUUAGCUUUUGGAGGGUCAGUUUGCAGCAGUUCCAAGACCUCAAGGUAGAGAAGACCAGGGCACUGCAGAUCUGAAGCACCAACGCCUUGUUGGUGCUGCGGUUCUGUCUCCGAGGCCCUGCUGCAACUUGCUAGUGCUGCAAAAUGCUAUGCAGCACCACAACCUGCAUUUCCUUGGACACCGGGCUUUGUCCCCAGCUCAUCGUUCUCAGCUUUCUGAUUCCAGCCACAAGCAUGGUCUUACAGCUAUUUCACAACUCAAGAGAUAAUUAUGUUCUUUGAAAUCUCUUUUGAACCAAUUUUAGCAUCUGCCUGCUUCCCUGUGUGAAUGAGUUUUAAAAAAUCUUUAGCAUGUAUUCCUAUUUAUAACUCUACAGAGUAAUGACUUUAUCUUCUCCUAGAAACUGAGCUGGCACUUCCAUCCCAUCAUCCACAUCCAGGUAUAACAGAGGCAUCUUCACUCUUGGCACCCAUGGAGGGACAUGCUCACAAAACGCACACUCACUUAAUUGUAAAUUGUAAACAUGGCUCCACGGAUAGACUGUGUACAUACCAAAGAACAUACCAAAAAUUAAAAUUUAAAAUAAAUGACAUAAAAAGUAGAGAAAGAGC
rnacentral:lncRNA from 1 species